CUGUAGUGGGGCAAAACGAUUUGUGGGAAGACCUAUUAGGAGAGAGUUACAAUAAUCCAUGCGAGAGAUUACUAGAGCAUGGACAAGCUCCUCAUUAUCUUGCGUAAGAAAGAGGCGGAUGCGGGCUAUGUUUUUAAAGUGAAAUCUACAGGAUUUUGCAACAGACUGAAUGUGAGGCCAGAAUCAAGUUUGACGCUAAGACAGCGCACUUGCAAGGAUGGCCUGAUGUGGGUACCACUAACUCGAAGGGAGAGCGCAACGGGGGGGUCAGUAUUAGGAAGAGGAAUACAAUGAGUUAAGUUUUAGAGAGAUUGAGUUUCAAAAAGUGGGAGGACAUCCAAUCAGUGAUGGAAGCAGUGACUCGUUGCAGGACGGCAGGGGAGAGAUCCAGGGAGGAGAGAUAUAUCUGACUGUCAUCAGCGUACAGGUGGUAUUGGAAAGUUUGCCAAGAGAGGAAGUAUAAAGAGGGGGGUUCCAGAGGGAAAUAGUGUGUAUGUGACGGUUACCCCUAUGGAGUAGGGUAUCUACCGUUUGGGCGUCCUCCUUCCCAGUACUGGAGACCACGGCAGAGCUCCAACUCAAGGUCUUGUAGAGCAGGGCUCCCUCCUCCAGGAGGGUAUAGCUGGGGCUCUCCUUCCAGAAGGUGUAGCAGGUUAGCUGGAGAGAGCUCUUAUAAGUGCUAGUAGCGAUAUAGCUGGCAAACAGGCUUCUCCAUAAUCCAGAGGAGCAGGGCAGUUUGGCACAUGGAAAGCCAGAGGAACAGGGCAGUUGGUCACACCGGUUUUAAAAUAACAGAUUCUUUCCCAGCAGAGUUAAAGGGCCAGACAU